CGUAGGCGGCUGAGUAAGUCACGUGUGAAAGCCCGGGGCUCAACCCCGGAUCUGCAUGUGGGACUGCUCGGCUCGAGCACGGUAGAGGCGGGCGGAAUUCCUGGUGUAGCGGUGGAAUGCGUAGAGAUCAGGAAGAACACCGGUGGCGAAGGCGGCUCGCUGGGCCGUUGCUGACGCUGAGGCACGAAAGCGUGGGGAGCAAACAGGAUUAGAUACCCUGGUAGUCCACGCCCUAAACGAUGGACACUAGGCGUCGGGGGGGAGCGACCCUCCCGGUGCCGUCGCUAACGCAAUAAGUGUCCCCGCCUGGGGAGUACGGCCGCAAGGCUAGA
rnacentral:rRNA from 1 species